rnacentral:rRNA from 1 species
UGCGGAGGGAUCAUUACACAAAUUAAAAUAUGAAGGCUUCGGCUGGAUUAUUUUUAUCACCCUUGUCUUUUGCGCACUUGUUGUUUCCUGGGCGGGUUCGCCCGCCACCAGGACCACACCAUAAACCUUUUUUAUGCAGUUGCAAUCAGCGUCAGUAUAACAAAUGUAAAUCAUUUACAACUUUCAACAACGGAUCUCUUGGUUCUGGCAUCGAUGAAGAACGCAGCGAAAUGCGAUACGUAGUGUGAAUUGCAGAAUUCAGUGAAUCAUCGAAUCUUUGAACGCACAUUGCGCCCUUUGGUAUUCCAAAGGGCAUGCCUGUUCGAGCGUCAUUUGUACCCUCAAGCUUUGCUUGGUGUUGGGCGUCUUUUGUCUUUGGCCUCGCCCAAAGACUCGCCUUAAAACGAUUGGCAGCCGGCCUACUGGUUUCGCAGCGCAGCACAUUUUUGCGCUUGCAAUCAGCAAAAAGGACGGCAAUCCAUCAAGACUACAUUUUUACGUUUGACCUCGGAUCAGGUAGGGAUACCCGCUGAACUUAAGCAUAUCAAU